UAUGUUGGGUAAAUAAGGUGUGUCAACAUAUCCCAGGAUAGAGUGUCCUACAGGAAUUUCUGAAUGAAAUUAAUCUGUGCUAGGAUAAAUUGCUGUUAUGCAUUUCUCAUUUUUAUUUUGGAUUUGUUUCAGGCACGUUUAGUAUUUUGAAACAAAAUGGAAGAUUGUUCCAGCCUCGGGGAACUGGCUGUCUAUAUAAACUGAAUAGGAAUAUCAAGAGCAAUGUUCAGAGGAAAAUAGGGAGUACAGAAGAGUAUUUGAUGUUGCACCCUCUUGUGAAUUAAAAGAAUCUAAACCUAAAACCUGAAACCAACCAAAAAAAAAAAAAAAAGAAGACUGGAAAUGAGAAAGAGGGAGACAGUGAGACCCUGGAGAGGGGAAAGGCUUUGGGAAGUUUGAGCUACCUGGUAUGCAUAUAACAUUAAAUACCUACAAAUA
rnacentral:lncRNA from 1 species